rnacentral:rRNA from 1 species
UAAGACGGAGGAGGCUAGCGUUGUUCGGAAUUACUGGGCGUAAAGCGCGCGCGGGCGGUUAUGCAAGUCAGGGGUGAAAGCCCGAGGCUCAACCUCGGAACGGCCUUUGCGACUGCAUGACUGGAGACCGGGAGAGGAGAGUGGAAUUCCCAGUGUAGAGGUGAAAUUCGUAGAUAUUGGGAAGAACACCAGUGGCGAAGGCGGCUCUCUGGCCCGGACCUGACGCUGAGGCGCGAAAGCGUGGGGAGCAAACAGGAUUAGAUACCCUGGUAGUCCACGCUGUAAACGAUGGAUGCUAGACGUUGGGGGGCUUGCCCUUCGGUGUCGCAGCUAACGCGAUAAGCAUCCCGCCUGGGGAGUACGGCCGCAAGGUUA